rnacentral:rRNA from 1 species
UGCCAGACUCCUACGGGAGGCAGCAGUGGGGAAUAUUGCACAAUGGGGGAAACCCUGAUGCAGCGACGCCGCGUGAGCGAUGAAGUAUUUCGGUAUGUAAAGCUCUAUCAGCAGGGAAGAAAAUGACGGUACCUGACUAAGAAGCCCCGGCUAACUACGUGCCAGCAGCCGCGGUAAUACGUAGGGGGCAAGCGUUAUCCGGAUUUACUGGGUGUAAAGGGAGCGUAGACGGUCCUGCAAGCCAGAUGUGAAAGCCCGGGGCUCAACCCCGGGACUGCAUUUGGAACUGUAAGGCUAGAGUGUCGGAGAGGCAGGCGGAAUUCCUAGUGUAGCGGUGAAAUGCGUAGAUAUUAGGAGGAACACCAGUGGCGAAGGCGGCUUGCUGGACGAUGACUGACGUUGAGGCUCGAAAGCGUGGGGAGCAAACAGGAUUAGAUACCCCGGUAC